rnacentral:lncRNA from 1 species
CAUAAUAGAAUAGUUUCAAAUUCAAACAAAAGCAGAAAAAAUUGGUCAGUACUUUUUUCUAGCAAAGUAAAUAACCAAGGUAAAGUAGUUUACCUUCUCCACACAAACUUCGACAGAGAAAAUUGAAGGAACGAUCUGAAAUUCUAUAUUAUUUUUAUCUGGCUUGAUAACUUAUAUAUCAUUUGAUGUAUAUUUUAGAUCUGCCAUGCUACACCAGACUAAGGCCGUGUUAACACCAAACGCCGUGUACAGUAAACAUGUUUACCUUUGGUUAAAUGUAAUGUACACUAGUUUCACAUUUAAUUUGUUCACAUCUUUACACUUUGUUUAGUUACCUAUACAUCAGAUUCGUUUACCUUCUCCACACUAACUUCGACAGAGAAAAUUGAAGGAACGAUCUGAAAACAGGCUUUAAUUUGUAAGUGUUUGUUGAUUUUAUAUUAUUUUUACCUGGCUUUAUAACUUAUAUAUUAUUUUAUAUAUGUUUUAGAUCUGCCAUGCUACACCAGACUAAGGCCGUGUUUACACCAAACGCCGUGUACAGUAAACAUGUUUACCUUUGGUUAAAUGUAAUGUACACUAGUUUCACAUUUAAUUUGUUCACAUCUUUACACUUUGUUUAGUUACCUAUACAUCAGAUUCGUUUACCUUCUACACACAUACUUCGACAGAGAAAAUUGAAGGAACUAUCUGAAAACAGUCUUUAAUUUGUAAGUGUUAGUUGAUUUUAUAUUAUUUUUAUCUGGCUUUAUAACUUAUAUAUCAUUUGAUAUAUAUUUCAGAUGUGCCAUGCUACACCAGACUAAGGCCGUGUUUACACCAAACGCCGUGUACAGUAAACAUGUUUACCUUUGGUUAAAUGUUUAUGUACACUAGUUUCACAUUUAAUUUGUUCACAUCUUUACACUUUGAUUAGUUACCUGUACAUCAGAUUUGUUCACACAGUUUGUUUAGUUACCUGUACAUCAGAUGUGUUCACAGUUAGGGAACGACCAUUUGACUUUAAAAAAAGAGGGGGUGGAUUUUUCCACAGUUUGAUUUAAAAAAAGAAUUGGGUCUUACAGAUGAUUAGAAUGAACAAAUAUUCUUAAUCCAAAGUUUCCCGAUACAUUAUAGUGUUAAUAUUGAAUUACAUCGAAAAAAAAAACUAAAUAUAAAGUUACGCGCGACAAAAAAAUUCCGACUCGGACCCCCCCUUUUUUUAAAGUAAUAUAGUUUAAAAAGUCAUUUUGGUUAAUUUGCGGUAGUUUAAAGGUGUAUCGAUUACGCAUUAAAAACGUAGGCUGCAUCAGCAUGCUUACAGACGAAGAAAAAGAAUUGCGAUGUAAAGGAUCACUACAUUUCUUUCUUUUUUGUUUGUUUCAAAUGGUAUUUUUUCUCCAAGGUGUAUUUGGUUAGGGGAGGGGGUAAUGUUUUUUUUUUAAUUCCAAUUGUAUUUUAACGGAUCUGAGAUACUACACAAACAAACAAUUAACCUCGCCCUUUUUCAGUAAUGCAUUUAUGAGUAAAUCGUGGUUUGAGUAAAGACCAGUGGCAAAUAUUUCUGUCAGUGUGUACGUCCAGUCGAUUCGGGAAGACAUUUUCAAAUGAUUUAUGUGUUCGGCUAUGAUGAUGGAUGAGAUUAGAGAUUAAUAAGGCUACGUAAAGUGUUUUUAUAACAAAUAAAUAUAUCAAGUUUAAACAAAUAUUUCUGUAAAGAACUUUAUUAAUAAGUGUUAUAAGUAUCAAUUUUAUAUAAAAAAUCGUUUUUUUUAAAUAAACAUGGGAAAAUUAAAGUUCUGAAUGCCUAGUUUUGAGUACACUUAACCUACACAAGCCCUACAUCGACUAUCGACUGCAUGUAGAGAAAACAUGAUUUAAACUACAUGUAAACAUGUGAUUUUAAGUACAGCACCAAACUAUUUUUUUUUUUUCAUGUUCAAAUUUGAUCGUUAAGAUGAAGGUUAUAUAAUCGAAAAUUCUUACGCAGGAAAAUUUUAUCAUACAUUAUAAUACAUUGUAUAUCCUUUAGGUGAGCAAAUCCUCUGCAAGAUGAAAAUAGUCAAGAUCCUGUGUGCAAUGUUCAUAAUGCUAUAUCAGUUUUAGCAGGAACAGCUAGUGGACAACAACUAGGUCUACCACAUUCAGGACGACUUGAAUUUAACAGAGUAAAACGAGAUGCUAAUGACAAUUUUGAUAGAAUCGGAACGUAACUGAUAAUUACAAAAAAAAAUUAUAAUUCAUUAUAUUGAGUUUUAAAUUACUACUGCUACUACUAUUACUCCAAUAAUACUAAUAAUAAUAAUAAUAAUAAAAAUAAUAAUAAUAAUAAUAAUAAUAAUAAUAAUAAUAAUAAUAAUAAUAAUAAUAUUAAUAAUAAUAAUAUUAAAAAUUAAUGCAUCAUGAUAAUAAUCAUACUAUAAAUAAUAAUUUGUAUUUUUCAGGUGAAUAAAGAUUAGAUGGUCUGUGGCACCACGUGCACUAACUGGAUCUUUCAUCAUUUAAUAAUAGAGCCUUAUUUAAAUGGAUUUAUCGUUGAUUUAUAUAUUUGUUUUUAUUUCAUCUCUUUAAUGAUACCUUUUUUGUUUUAACAUUCUAGUGGCAAAUUGUUUCUUGAAAAAUAAGGUUGUAAAUUGAUUUGCUGCAACUCAUAUAAAUAUCAAACAACAAUGGUGUCACAUGUGGAGCAUGAUUUGUUUACCCUUCCACAUUAUGCGAGAUCACUCCGAUUUUAAUGUAUCUACAAUUCAGAGAUGCACAAUCUCAAUU